GUCCACGCCCUAAACGAUGUCAACUGGUUGUUGGGUCUUCACUUACUCAGUAACGAAGCUAACGCGUGAAGUUGACCGCCUGGGAGUACGGCCGCAAGGUUGAAACUCAAAGGAAUUGACGGGACCCGCACAAGCGGUGGAUGAUGUGGUUUAAUUCGAUGCAACGCGAAACCUUACCACCUUUGACAUGUACGGAAGUCGCUAGAGAUAGCUUCGUGCUCGAAAGAGAGCCGUAACACAGGUGCUGCAUGGCUGUCGU
rnacentral:rRNA from 1 species